UACGUACCGGAAGAGGAGGAGCCCUUUCGCCAGCUUUUCAUUUUAUUUCUAAAACAAUGGCGGACAGCACAAGCGGUAGACCACGAAGCUACAGACCGUAAAUAGACGUUUCCUGGAGGUGCUGGUCCUCUGCUGCCCUCCCGACAUCUGCAUCUGGCUCCAAUGACCUCUGGCACAAACCUCACAUCCACCUCCAGGGCCUUUAAGAAGAUGGACCGCCAUUGCGUCUUCAGUAUCCCGAAGGACCUCUCCACAACACAACACACCUGGCCUUUGACAGGCAGCAGUUGUAGCUUGGAGGUGGACAGGCUGCCUGAAGGGGGUCAUGAGGCAGAUGGGUUGGGACAGGCAGAGGUAGCCACCAUCCCCAAGGAUACAGUAUCCUGGUGGAGGGUAUGACUGCUCAUAGAAGAUGGGGCUGUUAUUCAGGACCCUGGCAUCAUGCACUGUCUGGGUAGCCCACACACACAUCUAUGAAUUUGCACUUAUAAUCACAGAUGGCCUGCAGCUGGAUGGAAUGAAAAAGCUUCCUGUUAAAAUAGCAGGCAGCAUCCGCCGCUGGGGGCUUCACUCUGACGUGGCAGCCAUCAAUAGCCCCCACCACUCUGCUGAAGGCUGCCGACCCAGCUAGACGGGCGAAGCGGGCAGGGGAAGGGAAGAUUAUAUUAAUAUGCAAGUCAUUUUAUCAAUAAAAUGUUGUCAUUGA